GAUGAAGAACGUAGCGAAAUGCGAUACGUAAUGUGAAUUGCAGAAUUCAGUGAAUCAUCGAGUCUUUGAACGCACAUUGCGCCCCCUGGUAUUCCGGGGGGCAUGCCUGUCCGAGCGUCAUUGCUGCCUCAAGCACGGCUUGUGUGUUGGGCCUCCGCCCCCCGGCUCCCGGGGGGCGGGCCCGAAAGGCAGCGGCGGCACCGCGUCCGGUCCUCGAGCGUAUGGGGCUUCGUCACCCGCUCCGUAGGCCCGGCCGGCGCCCGCCGGCGACCCCCCUCAAUCUUUCCAGGUUGACCUCGGAUCAGGUAGGGAUACCCGCUGAACUUAAGCAUAUCAAUAAGCGGAGGA
rnacentral:misc_RNA from 1 species